rnacentral:rRNA from 1 species
CUUCCAUGCAGUCGACGGCAGCACGGACUUCGGUCUGGUGGCGAGUGGCGAACGGGUGCGUUUUUUUCGGAACGUGCCCAGUAGCGGGGGAUAACUACGCGAAAGCGUAGCUAAUACCGCAUACGCCCUACGGGGGAAAGCAGGGGAUCGCAAGACCUUGCACUAUUGGAGCGGCCGAUAUCGGAUUAGCUAGUUGGUGGGGUAACGGCUCACCAAGGCGACGAUCCGUAGCUGGUUUGAGAGGACGACCAGCCACACUGGGACUGAGACACGGCCCAGACUCCUACGGGAGGCAGCAGUGGGGAAUUUUGGACAAUGGGGGAAACCCUGAUCCAGCCAUCCCGCGUGUGCGAUGAAGGCCUUCGGGUUGUAAAGCACUUUUGGCAGGAAAGAAACGUCAUGGGUUAAUACCCCGUGAAACUGACGGUACCUGCAGAAUAAGCACCGGCUAACUACGUGCCAGCAGCCGCGGUAAUACGUAGGGUGCAAGCGUUAAUCGGAAUUACUGGGCGUAAAGCGUGCGCAGGCGGUUC